rnacentral:rRNA from 1 species
AUUGAACGCUGGCGGCAUGCCUUACACAUGCAAGUCGAACGGUAACAGGUCUUCGGAUGCUGACGAGUGGCGAACGGGUGAGUAAUGCAUCGGAACGUGCCCAGUUGCGGGGGAUAACUGCUCGAAAGAGCAGCUAAUACCGCAUACGACCUGAGGGUGAAAGCGGGGGAUCGCAAGACCUCGCGCAAUUGGAGCGGCCGAUGUCAGAUUAGGUAGUUGGUGGGGUAAAGGCCUACCAAGCCGACGAUCUGUAGUUGGUCUGAGAGGACGACCAGCCACACUGGGACUGAGACACGGCCCAGACUCCUACGGAAGGCAGCAGUGGGGAAUUUUGGACAAUGGGCGCAAGCCUGAUCCAGCAAUGCCGCGUGCAGGAAGAAGGCCUUCGGGUUGUAAACUGCUUUUGUCAGGGAAGAAAUCCUCUGGGUUAAUACCCCGGGGGGAUGACGGUACCUGAAGAAUAAGCACCGGCUAACUACGUGCCAGCAGCCGCGGUAAUAC